rnacentral:rRNA from 1 species
CUGGUUGAUCCUGCCGGAGGGUACUGCUAUUCGGAUUCGACUAAGCCAUGCGAGUCGAGAGUCUUCGGGACUCGACAUACUGCUCAGUAAUAUGUAGUUAACCUAACCUAAAGUCAGGGAUAAUCUCGGGAAACUGAGGCUAAUACCUGGUAGACAUUCUGGUCUGGAAUGAUAGAAUGUCGAAAGAUCCGUCGCUUUAGGAUGGGACUAUAUUCUAUCAGCCUGUUGGGGGUGUAAUGUACCCCCAAAGCUAUAACGGGUACGGGCCAUGAGAGUGGAAGCCCGGAGAUGGAUUCUGAGACAUGAAUCCAGGUCCUACGGGACGCAGCAGGCGCGAAACCUUCACUAUGCAUUAGCGUGCGAUGAGGGAAUCUGAAGUGUUUAUGCUUUGCAUAAACUUUUUUGAGUUGAAACAGCUCGAAGAAUAAGGGGUGGGUAAUACAAGUGCCAGCCGCCGCGGUAAUACUUGAGCCCCAAGUGGUACCCAGUAUUAGUUGGUCUAAAGCGUCCGUAGCCGGUUUAAUAAGUUCCUGGUGAAAUUCACUGGGAAACUGGUGAGCUUGUCGGGAAUACUGUUAAACUUGGGAUCGGGAGAGGGUAGAGGUACUGCUAGGGAAGGGGUAAAAUCCUAUAAUCCUAGUGGGACCACCUGUGGCGAAGGCGUCUACCUAGAACGAGUCCGACGGUGAGGAACGAAACCUAGGGGAGCGAUCGGGAUUAGAUACCCCGGUAGUCCUAGGUGUAAACGAUGCCCACUUGGUGUUACAAACCUUACGAGGGUUUGUAGUGCCGGAGCGUAGGUGUUAAGUGGGCCACCUGGGGAGUACGACCGCAAGGUUGAAACUUAAGGGAAUUGGCGGGGGAGCACACAAGGAGUGGAGGCUACGGUUCAAUUGGAUUCAACGCCGGG